CGCGUAGGUGGUAGUGCAAGUCUGGGGUGGAAUCCCAGGGCUUAACCCUGGAACUGCCUUGGAAACUGUAUUACUUGAGUCAGUGAGGGGAGGGUAGAAUUCCUGGUGUAGCGGUGAAAUGCGUAGAUAUCAGGAGGAAGGCCUGUGGCGAAGGCGGCCCUCUGGCGCUGAACUGACACUGAGGCGCGAAAGCGUGGGGAGCAAACAGGAUUAGAUACCCUGGUAGUCCACGCCCUAAACGGUGGGUACUAGGUGUAGGGCUCGUAAGGGUUCUGUGCCGAGGCGAAAGCAUUAACGUACCCCGCCUGGGGAGUACGGCCGCAAGGUUGAA
rnacentral:rRNA from 1 species